rnacentral:rRNA from 6 species
UAACACUAACUGGAGGACCGAACCGACUAAUGUUGAAAAAUUAGCGGAUGACCUGUGGCUGGGGGUGAAAGGCCAAUCAAACCGGGAGAUAGCUGGUUCUCCCCGAAAGCUAUUUAGGUAGCGCCUCGUGAAUUCAUCUCCGGGGGUAGAGCACUGUUUCGGCUAGGGGGCCAUCCCGGCUUACCAACCCGAUGCAAACUGCGAAUACCGGAGAAUGUUAUCACGGGAGACACACGGCGGGUGCUAACGUCCGUCGUGAAGAGGGAAACAACCCAGACCGCCAGCUAAGGUCCCAAAGUCAUGGUUAAGUGGGAAACGAUGUGGGAAGGCCCAGACAGCCAGGAUGUUGGCUUAGAAGCAGCCAUCAUUUAAAGAAAGCGUAAUAGCUCACUGGUCGAGUCGGCCUGCGCGGAAGAUGUAACGGGGCUAAACCAU